rnacentral:rRNA from 1 species
AACGAACGCUGGCGGCAGGCUUAACACAUGCAAGUCGAGCGGGCCCUUCGGGGUCAGCGGCAGACGGGUGAGUAACACGUGGGAACGUACCCUUUUCUACGGAAUAACGCAGGGAAACUUGUGCUAAUACCGUAUACGCCCUUCGGGGGAAAGAUUUAUCGGAGAAGGAUCGGCCCGCGUUGGAUUAGCUAGUUGGUGGGGUAAAGGCCUACCAGGGCGACGAUCCAUAGCUGGUCUGAGAGGAUGAUCAGCCACAUUGGGACUGAGACACGGCCCAAACUCCUACGGGAGGCAGCAGUGGGGAAUAUUGGACAAUGGGCGCAAGCCUGAUCCAGCCAUGCCGCGUGAGUGAUGAAGGCCUUAGGGUUGUAAAGCUCUUUCACCGAUGAAGAUAAUGACGGUACCUGCAGAAAAAGCACCGGCUAACUACGUGCCAGCCGCCGCGGUAAAAC